CCUACGGGAGGCAGCAGUGGGGAAUAUUGGACAAUGGGCGCAAGCCUGAUCCAGCCAUGCCGCGUGUGUGAAGAAGGCCUUCGGAUUGUAAAGCACUUUUGUCCGGAAAGAAAAGCGCUCGAUUAAUACUCGGGUGUUAUGACGGUACCGGAAGAAUAAGCACCGGCUAACUUCGUGCCAGCAGCCGCGGUAAU
rnacentral:rRNA from 1 species